GACGAACGCUGGCGGCGUGCCUAAUACAUGCAAGUCGAGCGAUGAAGCUUGGUGCUUGCACCAAUUUGAAGAGCAGCGAACGGGUGAGUAACGCGUGGGGAAUCUGCCUUUGAGCGGGGGACAACAUUUGGAAACGAAUGCUAAUACCGCAUAACAACUUUAAACAUAAGUUUUAAGUUUGAAAGAUGCAAUUGCAUCACUCAAAGAUGAUCCCGCGUUGUAUUAGCUAGUUGGUGAGGUAAAGGCUCACCAAGGCGAUGAUACAUAGCCGACCUGAGAGGGUGGACCGCCACAAUGGGACUUGAGCACGGCCCAAACUCCUACGGGGGGCAGCAGUAGGGAAACUUCGGCCAAUGGCGAAAGUCUGGCCGAGCAACGCCGCGGGGGGGGAGGAGGGUUUCGGGUCGUAAAACUCUGUUUGUAGGGAAGGACGUUGGUGGGAGUAAAAAGCUCAUCAAGUGACGGUAACUACCCAGAAAGGGACGGCUAACUACGUG
rnacentral:rRNA from 1 species